GAGAAACUUCCCUGUAUGGCCCUUCACAGGGUCAUUAGGAUACUGCUACUUCAUCACUUUCACAGGUUAAUAAUUACUGUUGUUUUCUUUCCCCUGAGUUUUAUCUUAUGUGGGUUGGGAAACUCUAGCUAAGAGAAGUGAUAGUUUGUGAUCUUUUUUGAUUAUUAAGGAGGAUGAAGCGUUUUCACUUUCAAUGGAAUAUGUGUAUCAAAGGCAUGUAUGUGCCACGAACUGGGUGGCUUUGAACAAUGGACAUUUAUUGUCUCACAGGUCUAGAGGCGGAAGUCCAAAAUCAAGGUCUGAGUAGGGCCAUGCUUCCUCUGAAGGGGAAGAAUUUGCUCCAGGCCUCUCUCCUGGAUCCCAGGAGUUCCUUGGCUUGUGCAAGCCCAACUCCAGUCUUCACAUGGCACUCGCCCUGCGCACGUGCCUGCCUCAUUACGUGAUGCUCUUUUUAUAGGGACACCUGUUAUGUGGGAUUAAGGACCCUCUCUAGAAUCACCUCAUCUGAACUAUUACAUCUGUAACAACCGUAUUUCCAAAUAAGGUCACAUUCUGGGUUACUAGAGAUUAAGACCUCAACAUCUUGGGGGGAGUGGUCACAACUGAACCCAUACCACCCGGGUUAUGGCACAGUCUAUCAGCCCACAUAUCUUGAGUCCCUACCUCUAGUUAUCCCCUCACUGCUCCCCACAUCUGUCCUGCACAUGGUGGUCAGUGUGAUCUGCCUAAAAUGAAAACUGGAUCAUGUGAUUACUCAGCUAAAAAGCCUCUCAAGUUUCAUUUAUCUUUAGCAAAGCACAAAGUUCCUUAAAACCUGCCCUGUGCUUCCCUCACUAGCUCCAUCUCCCUAACUGUUUCACUUUUACUUGUAUUUUAGCCACAAAGAACCAGACACAUUUCCCAGAAUCUGUCACAGGCCCCAUUCCAAGGCAAGCUUUCCCUCAUUUUCAUGCUGUUUUUUUUAAAAACUAAGUUCCCUACCCCGCCCCCGACCUUUGCCAAACACUCCCCCUUACAAGACUCAGCUUAAAUCAUUUGCUUUGGGAAUUCCUCUCAGAUUCCUCCAGAUUGAGUUAGAAUUAGAGGUGUUCUCUGUUUCCCUUAAUUAUCAACCUACUCAUCAUGCUGAGUU
rnacentral:lncRNA from 1 species